CCAGCUGCUCGAGGCCCUCUGGCCUGUGGCACACUGUCGUCAUCUCCAGCUCGUCAUCUGCUUUAUCUGGAGGGAGGAAGAAGAAGAAAGAAGGAAGGAAGACAAGAAGAAAUACAUCUAUUACCAGGUUUUUAUCUUGUUUAUUCUGCCCAGUGACAUCCUGAAGUCCCUGCUUGUUGCCUUGCAACCUCAUGUUGAUGACAAAACUCCAGGAAGUAACUGCACCCGGCCCCGCCAUUAAAAACACAACAUGUCAAUUUACGUUUCCCUCCAGGGGAUCAAUAAAGCCUUAUCUACCUUAUCUCAUCUCGUAUACCUGUGCACGGCUGACAACACAGGACACACUUUAAUGGACCUAGGGAAAAAAAGGUCCUACGACGGAGGGUACAACUCCUUUUUGUUCGCCGCUUCACAUAUAUUUUUAUCUCUUAUUUCAUGCUGCCAUAAAUUCGUCAUUCAUCCCGGGCUGAGGAUUGUUCACACUCAUCCUCCCGUGCCCCUCACAACCCAGUCUCCAUGACAACGAGGAUCUCAAGCAUAAGGCCAGGGAGAGCUUUUCUGUUGCUCUUUUGUCUCCUCUCCAUCUUUUUCUCCCUGACCGGUGUCGACGUACCUCUGGACGGUCUCCUCUGCUUGGUCUGCAUGGUCAAAGUGCCCACCACUGCACCCAUGUUGUCACCGUG